rnacentral:tRNA from 1 species
GGAGGUGUGGCUCAGUGGUAGAGCAGAAGGUCCCAGGUUCGAUCUCCAGCAUCUCCA